AGGAGCUUGAGAUCUUCAAUUCCUCUGACUCUUAACGGCUGGAAGAAAAGAUGGUCGAAGCAGAUCGCCCAGGGAAGCUCUUCAUUGGUGGGCUCAAUACAGAAACAAACGAGAAAGCCCUUGAAGCAGUAUUUGGCAAGUAUGGACAAAUAGUAGAAAUAUUUUGGAUAAAAAAUCGGGAAACCAACAAAUCAAGAAGUUUUGCUUUUGUCACCUUCGAAAGCCCAGCAGAUGCUAAAGAUGCAGCCAGAGAUAUGAAUGGCAAGUCCUUGGAUGGAAAAGCCAUCAAGGUAGAGCAGGCCACCAAACCAUCCUUUGAAAGUGGUCGCCGUGGACCACCUCCACCUCCAAGAAGCAGAGGCCCUCCCAGAGGUCUUAGAGGAGGAAGUGGAGGAGCUAGGGGACCCCCUUCGCAUGGAGAUACAUGGAUGAUGGUGGCUAUUUCAUGAACAUGAGUUCUUCCAGGGGGCCACUUCCAAUAAAAAGGGGACCACCACCACAAAGCGGGAGGGUCCUCCUCCUAAAAGAUCGACACCUUCAGGACCAGUUCGCAGCAGCAGUGGGAUGGGUGGAAGAGCUCCUGUAUCACGUAGAAGAGAUAGUUACAGAGGCCCACCACGAAAGGAGACCCCGCCUUCUCGUAGAGAUGUUUAUUUAUCCCGAAGAGAUGAUGGCUAUUUGACAAAAGACAGCUAUUCCAGCAGAGAUUACCCAAGCUCUCGCUAUACCAGAGAUUAUGCCACCACCAAGAGAUUAUGUUUACCGUGAUUACAGCCAUUCCAGUUAACGUGAUGACUAUCCAUCCAGAGGCUAUGGUGAUAGAGAUGGCUAUGGUUGGUAUCAUGACCAUUCAGAUCAUCCAAGCGGAGGUUCCUACAGAGAUUCAUAUGAGAGUUACAGUAAUUCACUUACUGCUCCACCCACACGAGGGCCACUGCCACUUUACCGUGGAAGCAGUCGCUAUGAUGAUUGCAGCAGCUGACGGGAUGGAUAUGGCGGAAGUCGAGAAAGUUACUCCAGCAGCCUAAGUGAUCUCUACUCAAGUGGCCGUGAUUGCACUGGCAGACAAGAACGAGGGCUUCCCCGUUCUAUGGCAAGAGGGUACCCUCCUCCACGUGAUACCUACAGCAGUUCAAGCCGUGGAGCGCCAAGAGGUGGUGGUUGUGGAGGAAGCCAAUCUGAUAGAGGGGGAGGCAGAAGCAGAUACUAG